GCAGCUCAGCGGCUGAGGGUCUGCCUUGCAAGUGGAAGGCUCCGGGUUCAAUCCCCGGCGUCUCCA